ACUGUCCUUGCAUCCACUUAAAACAAAUAAGCAUGACAGGAUUUGGUCCACAUAUCGGCUAUAAAACCUUUUGCAACACCUGAAAUCCUGCUGCUGCUGCCACAUUGAAAUUUUACCUAUAGGCAAAUAGUCAACACUUUUUUACUCUGAGGCUAUUUCCCACAGACACUGAAAACUGCAGUUAUUAAGCAGCUCUUAAAAAGAUCAUGUAGACAACGAAUGAUGAACAAUAUAUAAUGAAUAAUGAGCAAUAACAGGCACAUAUCGAACCUCCCAUUUUUAAAUGAAACCAUUGAAAAGGCUGUUUUUCAACAGUUUAACACUAUUGGUCCUAAACAAUUGUUUUGAUGGUUUCCAGUCAGGAUUUUGACCACAGCACAGCACAGAGACUGCUCUUGUUAAGGUCUUGAAUGACAUCCACUUAAACACAUAGCGGAAAAGUUUCAGUAUUAUUAGAUUUCAGUGCUGCAUUCGACAUGGUCUACCACAAUAUAUUACUAGACAGACUGGAGAACUGGGAUGGACUUUCUGGCGCUGUGCUAAACUGGUGGCCCCUGAGAACGAAACAACACACUGGGAAUUAAGAAAAUUAGUGAUGUCAACGAUUAAAAUACUUAAUCGCGAUUAAUCGCAUGAUUGUCUAUAGUUAAUCAUGAUUAAUUGCAAAUUA